AGGUUCUUUCUGUGACAUGUUUUCAUGGUGUGGGAAUAAGACUUGUUGGUCUAAUACAGCUAAUACAUAGGUUAGCAUCACAGCUUGUCCGUAAGGAUUGAGGCUGGGAAUGGUCUUUGGAACUGACUUUCAAAAUAUGAAGAUGAUGAGGAGAGCCACCUUGGCAGCCAGGAGAGUAGCUCUAAGGAAGAUGGUCAAUUAAAUCUUCAAUAAGUCUGAGGCAUUACCAAGAAAAUAAUAAGGUUGUUAUAAUGACAAUGUUUUCAUGGUGUUGGGAGUAAGACUUGGAUAUCUGAUAUUGUUAACAUGUUGAUUAGCAUCACAAAGUUUCCGUAAGGUUACUUGCUGGGGUAGUAAUUGG